rnacentral:misc_RNA from 1 species
ACAAAUCCAAUAAUUGUGGGGAACUUCUUGUUCUUCUGCAAAUAUUAAUCCGCCGGCGGCUAUAAUGGCAGCUGGCUGUGAUAUAAAUGCGUGUUAUGUUGACAGUGUGUGUAAAAAUUAAUAUUGA